rnacentral:lncRNA from 9 species
UUUUGGCUUCAGGUCUGUCACCAGCACGAGCCUGACCCGGGAGUGCAUGGACCCAGCUGGAGGGACCAGCGGUGUCCUGCAGGAGACCAUGCACCCUGGAUGUCUGCACCCUCCAGAAACUCAGGGGUCCCCAGCUCUGCGGGUGGCCCCUCUUAUCCCCUGACAUCCGGCCCUCCUGGGGGCAGGUGUGGUUCUGCUUCCACUCCGGCCGCAUCCUCCACUCUGAGGUUUUGCUCCACCACCAAUAAAACUUCACUGGCCAACACUGAAAAUCAAUGCGUGUUCUGGGCACAUGGAGGACCCAGGGGAGCAGUGCCCAUCUCUGACCUCUGGCAGCUCAUGGGGGGACAGGCAGCAAGCUGUGACUUGCUGUCACAGGCACGAUUGUUCGCGGAGUGAGAUAGGGGCAGCUGCACGCAGGAGUUAUUGAUGCUGCUGGGAAGGGCUGAGACUGGGGCCACCAGGGCCGAAGCUCUUUGGGGGCCUGGUCGCUGGUGGCCAUCCGUGAUUGUGAACUUCACCUGGGCGUGAAAAGACGGCCUCCUCUUUGCCAAGCCCCGAGGUAAGUACAGAGGUUACAGAAACAGAAGAGCCCGUCAGCAAAGGACCCAGACUACCAGGAGAGAAGCAGAAAGAAUCUCUGUGAGAUGUGGUCAGGGCGUCAUGGGGGCGUGAGCAAGGCUCAGGGUGCCCUGAGGGGGCUGCCCCGAGGGGCUCUGUCCUGGCUCCUCCCGAAGAGGGUGUCCCUUUCGGAAAGAACACUGAUCAUCCACCCCCCUGGCUUCCCGCAGCCCUGGAGCCUAUUCCUGUGCCCAAGUUAGAUGCUGAAGAAAUUUGUGUUAAAUAGGCACUUACCUAAUUCAGUUAAAAAUGAACAAUGCAGAGGGAGUUCCCAUUGUGUGGUUCAAUGGGUUAAGAAUCUGACCAGUAUCCAGGAGGAUGCAGCUUGACCCCGACCUCGCUCAAGGAUUAAGGAGUUGGCAUUUGCUACAAGCUGCAGCGUAGGUCGCAGAUGUGGCUCGGAUCUGGUGUCACUGUGGCUGUGGUGUAGGCCAGCAGCUGCAGCUCCAACUGGACCCCUAGCCUGGGAACUUCCAUAUGCUGCGGGUGCGGCCCUAAAAAGAAAAAAAGAAAAAGACAUGAACAGUGAGGGAGUUCCCACUGUGGAGCAGUUGGUUAAGAAUCCUACUGCAGAGGCUUGGGUCUCUGCGGAGUUGCAGGUUUGAUCCCUGGCUCCGUGCAGUGGGUUAAAGGUUUGAAGUUGCUGCCGCCACCGAGGCAUGGCUCAGAUUUAAUCCCUGGCCUGGGAACUUCCAUAGGCCAUGGGCACAGCCAUCAAACAAACAAACAAAAAACCCACAGAAGUGUGGGGAGAGAAUGUGUAUCUUUCCAGGUGAAUUUUGAUUCUUAGUUUUUAAGUAUCUCAGGCUUCUUAGAACAUAGACUCUGAAAGUUGUAUUCUAAAGGAAUCAGCUUUAGAUUCGAGCCAUUGCUGGUUGCCUGUAAAAAAAGGGUGAUGAAAGAGAAUCAUUACAACAGGUUUGUUAGGUCAUAAAUAUUUUACGUGCUAGGCUUGGCAAGCUGUGGGCAGACGCUUGCCCUAAUAAGUAUUGAUUACAUUCUGGUCUGCAAUCAGGACACAUCACUGAUGGUUUAAAGACUGAGGCUCCCGUGCUGCCCAGGAAGACAGAAAUGAACUGGGGACCAACAUUAGAGAGUCUGCUCACCGUGUUUCCCAUCUCGAGGUUAAGCAGGGUUGCCACGUAAGUUAGAACAAGAAGUCCUGCAUUGACCAAUUUGCCCCAAGGUGGAGAGUCUCUGUGACCACACAGAGCAUGGAAUUCUGGAGCUGGAAGUUUCCUUGAGCUAAUCCAGGCUGGGUUUGUCCUAAGACAUGCACCAGUCUCUGAUACCCAACUUGUACUCAUCCAUUCAUGAAAGCUUCCACCGUCUGGUUGUACAGGGCAACAGAGGCUCUGAAUUCAGGAUUAGACCGUUCAGGCCAGGGGCUUUAGUAGGCCUCCCGGUCCUUCACAGAUGCUCACGGAGUCACUGCUGGGUGCAUCUUAGGAGCCCCACCUGUGAAAAUCAUUCCCUCAGCCCCUCGUAAGAUGUCAAUCCAGGAGGCUUCGUGACAAGCAAUGAAGUUGUGGGUCCAAGGAAAAUAUUCCUGCUUCUCGUUCUCCUUUUGGUUUGAGUUUCACAAGAACACAUUUUUGAGGAAGAAACCGGGUGAGAGACCACACAGCUCCACCAUCGUCGGAGCCCUUCCAAGCUGCCGCCUUGUGGCUGGGAGGCGCCUCCCGGUGCAGCCGCCGUGACAGGCACAGGGAAUCGGAUGGACCAGCCAGGUCGCCCCAUCUGGGCCAGGUGCCACCUGCCCGUGACCUCCUAGGUUACCGGGGGUCCCGGGCUCUCUGAAGGACAGUGCCACUUCUCCUCGGCCUCUGCAUGUGGCCAAGGCUGGAGGGUAGAGAUGCCAAUUUCGCCGUAACGGUGGUCACUACCAUGGCCAUUUCCCGGUCAGACCUCAGGAAAAGCUUCCCUUACUCAGGAACCCAGUUUCCACAAACAGGCAAUUCAUCAUUUUGAAAACCGGCUCUUACACGGAGAUAUCCCAGCCCACUCGCACAAAGAACAGAGAUAAUUCGCACCUUUUAGGUAAAAAUAACAAGAACAAGGAACACCCUAAGAAAAUGCUCCUUGGGCAUCUUAGAAGGAAUGGUGUGUGCCCAGGAGACCCUGGAAGCUGGGCACAUGGCCCCAGGCAGGCUGCCUUCCUCCAGCCCUGGGCAAGGGGUCCUCAGAGCAGAAAGAGAGGCUGUGUUCCCACCGGGGUCUGCGCACGCAUCCAAACUUGCUGAACCAUCAGAAGCUGGGAGGGACUUGAUCUCCUCCAGAUACCCCUGGGCAGACACUCAGCUGGCUUGAGGAACGAACACACGAAUUGUCAUCCUGCUUGGAAGAAUGUAAAGGCAUUUUGGGUUGGUCGACUUGGGCAGGUUACUGCAGGCCCUCGGCGGCGUCUGGAGACGGUGCUGCCAGGAGACACUGCUGAGCAGGUUUGGGGGAGGGUAGUGUUAUUAUUCCCUGUGGAAAUCUGAGCCCAGAGCCAGCUCCCUAAUCUGCAGGACCCAGAGCAAAUGAAAACGCAAGGCCCUUGUUCAAAAGCAUGAAGAAUGUCGAGGCAGCGCCCGAGUGGAACAUUAAACCAGCGCGGGACCUGUACUCGUUUCGUUUCGUUUCGUGUGGCCGCUGUAACAAAUGACCACAGACAAGCAGCUGAAAACAACAGCAAUCAAUCCUCUCAUGGCUCUGGAGGCCAGAAGUCUGGAGUCUGAGAUCGGGGCGGGAGCAGCAUCGGGUCCCGGCUUCGGGCGUUGGCUGGCCAUCC